UAUAAGAGAUUUUGAGUUUUUUCUUGCAACGUUUGACCUCUCGUCUUAUUCAAAAUUUUUUUGCAAAUAUAAAAAACGAAAAGUUGUGUUUAAAGUAUUGUAAAUAAUAAAGUAAGUCACAAAUAAAAUAAAUAAUAAUUUCAAAAAAAUUUGAAUAAGACGAGUGGUCAAACGUUGCAAGCAAAAACUCAAAAUCCCUUAUA
rnacentral:pre_miRNA from 1 species